GACUCAUCUGAGUCGAAUCGUGAGUUUAGUUCUGAGGAGACCUCAGAAGAUAAUAAUGGAUUCCUCCCUGAAAUAACCAACUUUUCUAACAACAUCAAAUACAAAGUGGCACACCAAGUUCUGUUCGGUCAGAUUCCUCCUAGCGUGGAA